rnacentral:rRNA from 1 species
GUAGGUGGUUAUAUAAGUGAAUAGUGAAAUCUGGCGGCUCAACCGUACAGGCUAUUAUUCAAACUGUAUAACUCGAGAAUGGUAGAGGUAACUGGAAUUUCUUGUGUAGGAGUGAAAUCCGUAGAUAUAAGAAGGAACACCAAUGGCGUAGGCAGGUUACUGGACCAUUUCUGACACUGAGGCACGAAAGCGUGGGGAGCGAACCGGAUUAGAUACCCGGGUAGUCCACGCCGUAAACUAUGGAUACUAGCUGUUGGGGGUAUCGACCCCCCCAGUAGCGAAGCUAACGCGUUAAGUAUCCCGCCUGUGGAGUACGGUCGCAAGACUAAAACAUAAAGGAAUUGACGGGGACCCGCACAAGCGGUGGAUCGUGUUCUUUAAUUCGAUGAUAAACGAAAAACCUUACCAGGGUUUGACAUCCUUGGAAUCUCUGCGAAAGUAGAGAGUGCUUUAUUGAGCCAAGUGACAGCUGUUGCAUGGCCGUCGUCAGCUCGUGUCGUGAGAUGUUUGGUUAAGUCCAUCAACGAGCGCAACCCUUGUGAAUAGUUGUAUUUUUCUAUUCAGACUGCCCCGGUAACGGGGAGGAAGGAGGGGAUGAUGUCAGGUCAGUAUUACGCUUACAUCCUGGGCUAGAAACACGAUACAAUGGUUAGUACAAUGCGCAGCGAAGCCGCGAGGUGGAGCAAAUCGCAUCAAAGCUAAUCUCAGUUCGGAUUGGAGGCUGAAACUCGCCUCCAUGAAGUCGGAAUCGCUAGUAAUCGCAGAUCAGCAAGCUGCGGUGAAUACGUUCCCGGGUCUUGUACACACCGCCCGUCAAACCAUGAAAGUGACCAACACCCGAAGUCCGAUUCGUCGGCCUAAGGUGGGGGGCAUGAUUGGGGUU